AUGAGCAUUUGGAGCCUCGUUGCUGGACAAGGUGAUAUGCAUGGACUUUUUUUGCUACAAAAUUUAUGCUUCAAAUAGAAGCUCAUGUUCACAGGAAUUAACUCUCUUAUGUAUAGCAACAUUCUAUAGGCCUUGGAGUGUGCAUGCUUAUUUGUGCUAAUUGGGAGUGGUGAUAGGUACACUGACAUAAUUCUUGUUUCUAUUUUUAGGGGGUGAUUUAUUCAUUGGAGUUUACUGCAUUUAGGUUGCUCAAGAUUCAGUUUUGCUUAGACCAUCAGAUAAAGUUAGUCGUGGCAUUGGAUCAUCUAAAAAUUAUAUUUAUAUGGAUGGUCAAAUGUGAUGUAUGCUCAAGAUUUAUCUUAUUACAUUUCUUGGAUGUUUAUUGGCCUACUUCAGCUCUACUAGCACAUACUCUGACUUCAGAUUGGACAUGAGAGAGAGACUGCAAAUUUGUCUGAUGCAAAAAAAUCAUCGAUAAGUCAAACCUUCAGAUAAAGUCAGUCAUGGCAUUGGAUCAUCUAAAAAUUAUAUUUAUGUUCAAGCUAAGAAGGAGGCUCAUGUCAAAGAGGUACGUACAUUCUAUUCCUUUUCGACAAAAGUUGUUGUAGGUAUGUUCUUCUAUUUAUUAAAAAGAAAAUUAUAUUUUUCAUUUGCUAUAUUAGUCUUAGCCUAACCUCUAGCAACUUGUUCAUUUGCUAAUACAGGAGGGACAAUCUAAAAGUAUUGUGCAAGAUAUAGAGCAUGCACUCAUCAUAUCUAAGUGAUCGGAGUGAUAUUGAUUAGCUUAUUAGAUGGAUAUUGGCCCAGUUUAUCUUUCAUUUUUUUCUAUAGCUGUUAGAAUUUUACUUUGCUCAGUUCAUACUAUAAAUAAUAUGAGACUCUUGUUUUGUGGUCCAAGUGUUUAGCGCUUAGGGUGCCUUGGAAGUACGCUAGCUUGUUGUCAUGAAGAAGUCAUUCAAGUUCCUUCCAGUGAGUUAUUAGUUCUUAUGUAUAUUUCUGUAACAUGUAAUUUUACAAUCUUUAUGCACAUUGGAGGUGUAUUUACGACAUAAUUAAGCAUCAUAAACAAAUAUAUUUUAGAGUAGAAAGAAGGACAAUGCACUCCAUUAUGUUUUAAACAUUGACUUUUAUGUUUACCUCAUUGCAACCUUUUCAGGCACUUCCUAUAUUUCUUGACAUAAUGUUUCAUCAUGUUCUUGGUGUAAUAUUGUCAUUGUCAUUUGUUCUUGUCUUUGGAGAGGGAUCAUGUCUGGGCUCACACUGGGGCUCAUGUCGCUCGGCCUCGUCGAGCUGGUGAUCCUCCAAUGUAGCGACAUAGGCAUCUCAAGAGACCAUUAAUAUUAUGAAGAGGUCGAUGGAAGAAAAUAACAACCUCCAACUAUUAAACUUCAAUCGAGAACAAGUGCCUCCAGCUUAUGUCUGCUUGACCACUAUAUGAUCUACAACCUUAUGGCUACUAUAGAAGAUAGUUAUAGUAGCUCUGAAUGUGAAGUUAUACGAUCAUUUUCAAUUAUCCUUAAUAUUUAUCACUUUGAGUUUAAGUUAUAAGAUUGGCUUUGGAUUUUAAGUUAAAGGAUUUGAAGAUAUAUGUAUUGAAGU